GCGCCAGCUGGCGCAUACCCCUCUGCUUACCAGCUAGCACACAUGAGCCGGCUGGCGCAUGCACCUCUACAUACUUACGAGCGAGCCUCCACUUACGAGGGAGCACACAUGCGCCGGCUGGCGCAUGCUCCUCUACAUACUUACGAGUGACCCUCUACUUACGAGCGAGCACACAUGCGCCGGCUGGCGCAUGCUCCUCUGCUUACGAGCGAGCACACAUGCGCCGGCUGGCGCAUGCUCCUCUACAUACUUACGAAUGACCCUCUGCUUACGAGCGAGCACACAUGCGCCGGCUGGCGCAUGCUCCUCUGCUUACGAGCGAGCACACAUGUGCCGGCUGGCGCAUGCUACUCUCCUUACGAGCGAGCACACAUGCGUCGGCUGGCGCAUGCUCCUCUGCUUACGAGCGAGCUUCCACUUACGAGCGAGCACACAUGCCCCGGCUGGCCCAUGCUCCUCAACAUACUUACGAGCGAGCCUCCACUUACGAGCGAGCGCACAUGCGCCCGCUGGCGCAUGCUCCUAUACAUACUUACGAGCGAGCCUCCACAUACGGGCGAGCACACAUGCGCUAGCGCAUGCUCCUCUACUUACGAUCGAGCCUCCACUUACGAGCGAGCACACAUGCGCCGGCUGGCGCAUGCUCCUUUCGUUACGAGCGAGGACACAUGCGCCGGCUAGCGCAUGCUCCUCUGAUUACGAGCGAGCACACACAUGCCGGCUGGCGCAUGCUCCUCUACUUACGAGCGAGCCUCCAAUUACGAGCGAUCACAGAUGCGCCGGUAGGCGCGUGCUCCUCUACUUACGAGCAAGCCUCUACUUACGAGCGAGCACACAUGCGCCGGCCGACACAUGCUCUUUUACAUAUGAGCGAGCACACCUGCUCCUUCACAUACGAGCAUCUUAGUCUCCAUGCGAGUCUAUUGCUCCACAUACGAGCAUACCAGUCUCCUUACGAGCCUGCUGCUCUACAUACGAGCACGUAAGUCGCCAUACUCACAUGCUCCCUUACUUACGUUCACGUAAGUCGCCAUAAGCGCAUGCUUCUUUACAUACGGGCGUCUCAGUCACCGUGCGAGCCUGCUGCUCUACAUACGAGCAUGUAAGACGCCAUGCGCGCAUGCUCCUUUUCAUACGAGCAUCUCAGUCUCAAUGUGAGUCUACUGCCUUACAUACGAGCACGUAAGUCGCCGUACGCGCAUGCUCCUUUACAUACGAGCACCCCAGCCUCCAUGCCAGCCUGCUGCUCUACAUACGAGCACACCAGUCUCCUUGCGAGCCUGGUGGUCUACAUACGAGUACGUAAGUUGCCACGAGCGCAUGCUCCUUUACAUACGUGCAUCUCAGUCUCAAAGCAAGUCUGCUGCUCUACAUACGAGCACGUAAGUUGCGAUACGCGCAUUCUCCCUUAUGAGCGAGCACACAUGCGCGGGCUGGCGCAUACCCCUCUGCUUACCAGCGUGCACACAUGCGCCGGCUGGCUCAUGCUCUUCUACAUAUGAGCGAGCCUCCGCUAACGAGCGAGCACACAUGCGCCGGUUGGCGCAUGCUCAUCUUCUUACGAGCUAGAACACAUGUGCCAGCUGGCGCAUGCUCCUCUAAUUACGAGCGAGCCUCCACUUACGAGCGAUCACAAAUGCGCCGGCUGGCGCGUGCUCCUCUACUUACGAGCAAGUCUCUCCUUACGAGCGAGCACACAUGCUCCUAUACAUACGAAGGAGCACACCUGCUCCUUUACAUACGAGCAUCUCAGUCUCCAUGCGAGUCUGCUGCUCUACAUACGAGCAUACCAGUUUUCUUGCGAGCUUGCUACUCUACAUACGAGCAAGUAAGUCGCCAUACGCGCAUGCUCCUUUUCAUACGAGCAUCUCAGUCCCCGUGCGAGCCUGCCGCUCUACAUACGAGCACGUAAGUCGCCACGCGCGCAUGCUUCUUUACAUACUUUACAUACGAGCAUAUCAGUCUCAAUGCUAGUCUACUGCUCUACGUACGAGCACGUAAGUCGCCAUACGCGCAUUCUCCCUUAUGAGCGAGCAUACAUGCGCCGGCUGGCGC
rnacentral:lncRNA from 1 species